GUGUUGAAUAAAAUUACCUCCUCGCCAUGGUUUCUUAACUAAUUGAAUACCUAAAAAUGUGAGGCCACUAGGGUCACUAUUGUGGUAUCUCUUAAAGUGGGCAGAUACACUAUGAUGAUCUAAGCCUUUGCGGAUAUUAACAUGUUCAUAGAUCCUUUUAUGUAGGGGACGGAUAGUCCUCCCCACAUAUUGCAACCCACAUGGACAUAUUAAAAGAUAUAUAAUAUUUUUAGUAAAAC